AAUUAAGUAGUUUAAAAAAAAAAAUAUUAAAUUGUAAAUUUAAAGAUAAAUAAUUUCUUAAUUA
rnacentral:tRNA from 1 species